UUUUUCUUUUUUUUUUUUUUUUUUUUGAGACAGAGUCUUACUCUGUUGCCCAGGCUGGAAAGCAAUGGCGCGAUCUUGGCUCACUACACGCUCCAUCUCCCAGGUUCAAGCAAUUCUCCUGCCUCAGCCUCCUGAGUAGCUGAGACUACAGGCACGGAGGCUGAGGCAAGAGAAUUGCUUGAACCCAGGAGGCGGAGGUUGCAGUGAGCUGAGAUAGUGCCAUUGCACUCCAGCCUGAGGGCCAAGAGCAAGACUUUGUCUAAAAAAAAUUAAUUAAUUAAUUUAAAAAAAUCUUUGAAACAUUUUGAAAAAAGAAAAAUUGUACUAAUGUCAAAAUUCUUUGAAGCCCCAAUUAAUAAUCCUUGUGUACACCUGAAUUUCUAACUCACACAUUUGUCUAAUACAGUGACUGACUAAACCCCACAUAUAACAUUAAUAUUUUUAAUUAUAGAAAUCAAAUGGUAGUAAGCUUAUAUGUAAUUGGAAUUUUUGUUAAAAGUUUGCCUAUCACUAGAAAUUCAGCUGUUAAAACAAACAUAUAAAGUUCUAAAGAAUAAACACCUUUGGUCUCGGAGGACAAAACAUUAACCAAGAAUAAGAAUCAAAUAGCUACAUUUCCAAAUGUAAGUCAACAAGAGCUCAUAAUACAGAAUCUUAGAGAACAUCAAGAAUAAUAAAUAUUUGUAAAAUACAGUGUCCCAUUACUUGUGAGAAUAUACUGAUAGUCCAUCAUAACUGGAAAAAGUUCAAAAUACUGCACAUACUUCAACAAAGAAUAAAAAGAUUAUAAUUAUGGACCAGUAACUAGAACAAAUUAAUGAACAAAUCAAUUUAUAAUUAACUGGAAAAGUACAUGCAGUGGAUCAACUGAAAUGGAUUAGGAAAAACAAAUACUCUAUAACAAUUUGCAUUAAUACUUCAUCUACUUAGAAUUCUGUCAUAUGACUAAAUCACCUUUCCACAAUACAAUCAGGAGCAUGAAAUAAAAACAUGCUCCUGGGUCAUCAAAAUCAAUGCCAUAAAUUCCACACAUUAAAGCAUUUUAUGCACAGGCCAAUCCCUUAGGCUGUCACUUGGAACCUAACUGUUCUACUUUGAAAUUGUCCUGAUCGGUUUUUUUUUUCUUUUUCCUGAUUCCCUAACCCAUAGCAAGUUGGAAAUAGCAAGUUAGAGAAAACAUAGGAAAGAAUAGUAAAAACAGUUAAUAGCCAAGCAGAAAACUGAAGGAGUCUUCUCUAGGGAAUCUAAUCAGUCCAAGAGGAAUUCUCUAAAGAUACUAACAAAAGAUACUGACAAAAGUUACCCCAAGAAAAGAGCUCAAGCAGAUCACCCUGCAAUGAAAUAAUAUGCCCAGAUCUUUAAUCUGCAUGCUCAACUUUCAAUGUUUUAGUCUGCCACUUUGCAUUAUAAGCACGUAUACAAUGAACAGUCAUCUAAGAAAAGCUGAGGUGUUUUAAAACCUCAGGUGUUAAAAGAGAAGUUAGAAAUCAAAACAAUAAUAAAGAAGUAUUCAGAGAAAACUUUAAAAAAUCUAUCAUUAAAAUUCUCAGAUACAAAAAAAUGCUCCAUCUAUUAAAUAAGAACAGGACGCUGCAAAAAGAAAAAGAAUUCUUAAUAAUUAACAUGAAAGAAGAAAAUAAUAUGAGUUGUAAAAUGAAAUCUCCCAGAAAGUAAAAUGUCAAAAAUAAAAAACGAAAAAAAAGAUAAGAAACAGAGGACUAGAAUAGGAGGCAAAACUUCCAAAUAGGAGUCUUAGAAAGAAAGGAGAGGAAAAAACUAAAGGAUGAAGUUAUUAACGAAAUGACUCUAGAGGCCUUCUCAGAAAUAAAAGAAAUCUGUUUCCAAGUUUAAAGAAUCCACUGAGUACCUAGCACAAAUGAAAAUGAGAUCUACAAUUAGCCAUAUCAUUGUGAAAUUUCAAAACAUUGGAGAAAACAGAAACUCUUACAAAUUAUCAGAGAAAAACAGCAAGAUCGCAUCAGAAUAAUGACAAAGCAGAAUGACUCAACUUCUCAAUAGCAACACCGGAAGCAAGAAGUCAAUGGAGCAAUACUUUCAAAUAAGUGAGGAAAAUUAUUUCCAACCAAGAAUUCUCUAUCCAGUAAAUCUAAGAAAGAGGGUAGAAAAAAUGUCUACAUUUUUGAAUUUAUAAGAUCUCAAAGAAUAUAUUUCUUAUGAAGUUCUAAGAUACCAGAUGACAUGUUCCCACUAACCCAAGACUAAUCCAAAAAGGAGAAUAUAGGGGAUAUAAGAAAGGAGACUCAGUACAAAUAAGAAGCAAAUGGAAUCCUCAAAACACACAGAAAUGUGAUCAUAGCAUCAGAGCUAAACAACGGAUGUAGAGAGAAUAGGCCCACAUUUCAGCAAUGUGACUCAAUAGACAAGUUGAGGGCUAUCACCAGAAGCCCCCCUAAACCCCACUCACCCACCCAAACACCUUUUUAACCUGAAGACAAGAUGCCCCAGUGAGCCUGACCAGGAUUCCUACAGCUACUUGUCCUAAUCACCUGUUAAUGGAGUUCCUACUGCAUCAAUUCCCAGUCCCACCUUGAUGUCACUAUCAGCUGAAGACAUUCCUUUCACCCUACAAUGGUCUGCUUUGAUCUACUUAUAGUGAACUUAGAAACAGGAAACAAGGAAGUGCUCAUCCCCUCUUUACAUAUUUCUGUCAGACAUCUGACACAUGACCCUCAAAACAUCCCUGUCAGUUGUUCUGAGCAUGCUAAGCCCCAUGUUUCCCAGGACCCAUUCUUGUCCUUGGCCACUAACUUCCCCAGAAAGGGCUUUGGUAAACUCCAGGAAAAAAGAAACCUGGCUAUGACCUAGACUUAGCUCAGUUUCUGUUCUUAUAGUAGCCUGCAGUGGCAACACUGCCGUGCCCUUACACAGAGGUGGGUAUACAAGUUACUCCAUUUUCAAAACAACAAUACACUGCUUUGUGCAAAACAACAAUGGGGUGGUUAGUCUAUAAAGAAGAGCCAGCAAACAUGAUGUGUUUACCUCUGAGGGUGAGAGAGAGGGAAACAACUAGGGAGGGGCACGUGGGGCUUCUAAGACACUGGUAAUGCUGUUAACCUGGAAGUUGGGUAGUUUGGAGUUCAACUUUGCUAUUCUUUACACCAUAAUACACAUUUUUAAUACUUUUCUUUAUGUGGCAUACAUCUGACAAUUUAAAAAAAAAAAAAAAAAAAAAAAA
ensembl:lncRNA